rnacentral:rRNA from 1 species
GGGUUGUGAGGUUAAGCGACUAAGCGUACACGGUGGAUGCCCUGGCAGUCAGAGGCGAUGAAGGACGUGCUAAUCUGCGAUAAGCGUCGGUGAGGUGAUAUGAACCGUUAUAACCGGCGAUUUCCGAAUGGGGAAACCCAGUGUGUUUCGACACACUAUCAUUAACUGAAUCCAUAGGUUAAUGAGGCGAACCGGGGGAACUGAAACAUCUAAGUACCCCGAGGAAAAGAAAUCAACCGAGAUUCCCCCAGUAGCGGCGAGCGAACGGGGAGGAGCCCAGAGCCUGAAUCAGUGUGUGUGUUAGUGGAAGCGUCUGGAAAGGCGCGCGAUACAGGGUGACAGCCCCGUACACAAAAAUGCACAUACUGUGAGCUCGAUGAGUAGGGCGGGACACGUGGUAUCCUGUCUGAAUAUGGGGGGACCAUCCUCCAAGGCUAAAUACUCCUGACUGACCGAUAGUGAACCAGUACCGUGAGGGAAAGGCGAAAAGAACCCCGGCGAGGGGAGUGAAAAAGAACCUGAAACCGUGUACGUACAAGCAGUGGGAGCCUCUUAAUGGGGUGACUGCGUACCUUUUGUAUAAUGGGUCAGCGACUUAUAUUCUGUAGCAAGGUUAACCGAAUAGGGGAGCCGAAGGGAAACCGAGUCUUAACUGGGCGUUAAGUUGCAGGGUAUAGACCCGAAACCCGGUGAUCUAGCCAUGGGCAGGUUGAAGGUUGGGUAACACUAACUGGAGGACCGAACCGACUAAUGUUGAAAAAUUAGCGGAUGACUUGUGGCUGGGGGUGAAAGGCCAAUCAAACCGGGAGAUAGCUGGUUCUCCCCGAAAGCUAUUUAGGUAGCGCCUCGUGAAUUCAUCUCCGGGGGUAGAGCACUGUUUCGGCAAGGGGGUCAUCCCGACUUACCAACCCGAUGCAAACUGCGAAUACCGGAGAAUGUUAUCACGGGAGACACACGGCGGGUGCUAACGUCCGUCGUGAAGAGGGAAACAACCCAGACCGCCAGCUAAGGUCCCAAAGUCAUGGUUAAGUGGGAAACGAUGUGGGAAGGCCCAGACAGCCAGGAUGUUGGCUUAGAAGCAGCCAUCAUUUAAAGAAAGCGUAAUAGCUCACUGGUCGAGUCGGCCUGCGCGGAAGAUGUAACGGGGCUAAACCAUGCACCGAAGCUGCGGCAGCGACACUAUGUGUUGUUGGGUAGGGGAGCGUUCUGUAAGCCUGUGAAGGUGUAC